GGACCAAGGAGUCUAGCAUGUACGCGAGUCAUUGGGACAUCACUAAACCUAAAGGCGCAAUGAAAGUAAAGGUCCGCCUCGCGCGGACUGAGGGAAGAUGGGAGGUCCAUGUGGCCCCCCCGCACUCCCGGGGCGUCUCGUUCUCAUUGCGAGAAGAGGCGCACCAAGAGCGUACACGCUGGGACCCGAAAGAUGGUGAACUAUGCCUGGUCAGGGCGAAGUCAGGGGAAACCCUGAUGGAGGUCCGUAGCGAUUCUGACGUGCAAAUCGAUCGUCGGAACUGGGUAUAGGGGCGAAAGACUAAUCGAACCAUCUAGUAGCUGGUUCCCUCCGAAGUUUCCCUCAGGAUAGCUGGCGCUCAUUGCGCACGAGUCUCAUCCGGUAAAGCGAAUGAUUAGAGGCAUUGGGGUCGAAACGGCCUCAACCUAUUCUCAAACUUUAAAUGGGUGAGAUCUCCGGCUUGCUCGAACUAUUGAAGCCGCGAGAAACGGAUCAGAGUGCCAAGUGGGCCAUUUUUGGUAAGCAGAACUGGCGCUGUGGGAUGAACCAAACGCCGAGUUAAAGCGCCUAAAUCGACGCUUAUGGGAUACCAUGAAAGGCGUUGGUAACUUAAGACAGCAGGACGGUGGCCAUGGAAGUCGGAAUCCG
rnacentral:rRNA from 1 species